GACGGAGGAUGCAAGCGUUAUCCGGAAUGAUUGGGCGUAAAGCGUCCGCAGGUGGCAGUUCAAGUCUGCUGUCAAAGACCGGGGCUUAACUUCGGAAAGGCAGUGGAAACUGAACAGCUAGAGUAUGGUAGGGGCAGAGGGAAUUCCUGGUGUAGCGGUGAAAUGCGUAGAUAUCAGGAAGAACAUCGGUGGCGAAGGCGCUCUGCUGGACCAUAACUGACACUGAGGAGCGAAAGCGUGGGUAGCGAACAGG
rnacentral:rRNA from 1 species